AAGUCGUAACAAGGUUUCCGUAGGUGAACCUGCGGAAGGAUCAUUAACACGUAUCCAACGUUAAACCCCCCGUGAACCUUCAGUGCGCUCGCACUUUCUUAGAAAAGGUAGCAAUGAACAGUUUUGAUUCAGGGACUUCUGCGUAGACUGUGCUUGAGCGUGAGGCAAGUGGCCUGGCAUUCCUCUGCUUGUUGGUGUCUGAAAGUGUCACCAGCUCUGUACGAAUGGCGCAGUCACGAUCGCUAGAGGCCGACACGGCCGGCGACCGGGUCACUGGGCGCGAGCCCCCCUCGUCACCUUUGCAUGAAAACGGGCCUGCGCUUAAUUGUGCGGCCACCAAACUCGAACAACUGUUAACAAUGGAUAUCUUGGUUCUC
rnacentral:misc_RNA from 1 species